CCCGCACUCCACCCCCCCUUCUCCGUCCUGCCACCACCACGACAGCGGCAGCUGCAGCCUCCCCCGGCCGCCGCCGCCGCUCCAACACCACCACGGCCCGGACGAAAGGUGAAGUAGCACUGAGAUGCCUCGGUAAAACUCGUACCACUCUGACCCUUGAUGCCAUCUAGAUGUAGGAUGUGGAUCCGUUGCUUUGUCUGCAAACUCCAUCCUCAUUCCAUUACGUUGACUGUAAACCGGCUGCCCCUGGGUGCGGGUUUGCCCAUAAAGCAGAAAAAGAUGUUAAAAAGUUUUGUUAAACAACUCCAAAGUGUGUCAAAAUGAAAAAAAAAAAAGGUGGCGAAGAAAGCACCGUUUCCCAAAUGUCAUCACACAUUGUUCCCCCAUCCCCAUGUACAGACUCGUGUUGGAUAAUUAGAGAAAUUGAAGUAGCGAUGUACAGUGCAAGCACCCAGUUUGUAACAAAUCUUGUUAGCGUCCUUGAUUUUCCUUCUCCCUUUCUUUUCCUUUGUCAAUCAGGUGCGUUAUGAAAAGCUCAAGUUUGUUCCUCACGCUACUUCACACAAUUCAAGUUCGAAGUAAGAACACCAUGCACAGUGUUGGGUAUUUCUCCCCCUCCCCAUCCAACUAAUUUAAUUUCUUGGGUUAGUUUUUCCUGGAGACCAAAACCACACACUUUUGCCCCUUUUCGUCCAGCUUACAUUGUUCUCAGGUGAAAAAAAACCCAGUGUUUCCUCUAAGCACACCGAUACAGUUGUGUGAAAUUGUGGUGGUUUGUUUCCCUCUUGUCUUUAUUCCCUAAAAAAAGAAAGAAAAAGGUGUAUACAUCUGCUUAAACUGUUAAAAUAAUGCAAGCACUUGGUAUAGCAAAUUAGAGGGCUUUUCAUUAUAGAUUUAAUUGCAUUCCAGAAAGGGGUUUUCACAUAAAACAAUAUCCAGUGGUCUUUUAUGCCUUUUUGUCGCUGUUUUUAAAUGUUUUAUGAUGGUCCCUGUACCUUCUGUGGCUUAACUUUGCCAUGAAAUCAUAAAUCUGGGAUUUUUUUUUUUUUCCCCUUCGAUCAAAGGUCCACUAUCAGAGCUUGAAAAUGUUACUGGUCUGGCCAAAAUAUUUUUAGUUCAGAGAGAGUGGGACCUCAUAGCACUGAUUUUCCCCCCUAAUAUAUUAAAUUAGUAACUUUGUUCUGUUAUUUUACUAAAUGUACGUACAUGUUAAGCUUUAUACUUCCACUCUUGAUCCCAGAAAAAUCGAAACUGGUUUUUGAUUGUCUGCUGCUAACAGCAUAAGCGAUUUUUUUAUCCAUACCAAGAUGAGUUGGAAAGGACAGAUGCGGCAGAAAAGAAAGAAAAUAGGCUGCCGGAACACUUUAGGUUAAUUUUCUCCCUUUUGAGGGAUGAAAGAAUCAGGAAUUGUUCGAAUGUCAGGAGUUUUCAGGGAUUGUACUGCCAAGUUUACAGUUGUUGUUGACUGGUUCCAUAAAGUGAGUAGUAUUUUUUUUUUUUAUAUAGUUGAAUAUUAGCUGUAGGAGUCAAACUUCUUGUUUGGGGCUUUUCCUUGUGCCUUGCUUCCCCUGACCCAUUUUUAAUUGGGCUCAAACUCCUAGCGCUCACGAUUUGCUAGAGAUUACCUUUUUAAUUGUGCAAACACUCAGGCAGGCAUUUAACAUCGGUACCGUGAGUAGCUCCCUGGAAAAUUGGAGCAACUUCUGAUAGCAAAGCAAAGCACCCGCCAGGAAUUUUUUUUGCAGGGACAGGUUUUUUUUCUAAGGGCAUAAUUGUUCGGCUGAGGCUCCUUGGGUCAAGUGAGGCUUUGUUAUACAGGGUUAAAGGAAGGGCUAAAGCAAAUCCCAGACCCCAGCGUCUUUUUUUUUCAGGGCCUGGGAUGUAUCCCGUUGCUGUGGCAUCAACUGUGCUGUGGCAGUGAGGACGUCAGCACUCAGCGUUAGGAUUUCACUGAAGGAUUCGGAUAGGAGGAGCGGGAAGCAGCUAACCUGUGAGCAGAGAGGACGUUCAGAAUUAGUAGCUGAAUCGAGCACAUUCCCUGAGAAAUCUUGAGUUGUGACCAAAUAGCGCUUGAAAGUUUCCCUUAAUAUAAACAUCGCUUAAAAACAUGGAUUUUAGGGAUGUUAGGAGGAGGAUUUGCCCCAGUUACAGCCAGGAGUAGGCUAAAGGGAUCUCUCUCCAAGCCUCUUAUAAAUUGGUACAACAUGUAUGUUACCAUAAUGAAAAAAAAAAAACAAA